rnacentral:rRNA from 1 species
AUUGAACGCUGGCGGCAUGCCUUACACAUGCAAGUCGAACGGCAGCACGGGGGCAACCCUGGUGGCGAGUGGCGAACGGGUGAGUAAUGCAUCGGAAUGUACCCAGUAGUGGGGGAUAACCAGUCGAAAGACUGGCUAAUACCGCAUACGCACUACGGUGGAAAGCGGGGGAUCGCAAGACCUCGCGCUAUUGGAGCAGCCGAUGUCCGAUUAGGUAGUUGGUGGGGUAAUGGCCCACCAAGCCUUCGAUCGGUAACUGGUCUGAGAGGACGACUAGUCACACUGGGACUGAGACACGGCCCAGACUCCUACGGGAGGCAGCAGUGGGGAAUUUUGGACAAUGGGCGAAAGCCUGAUCCAGCAAUGCCGCGUGUGUGAAGAAGGCCUCGGUUGUAAG